GACGAACGCUGGCGGCGUGCUUAACACAUGCAAGUCGAACGAGGUCCAACCGAACUUCGGUUUGGUGACGACCUAGUGGCGAACGGGUGCGUAACACGUGAGAAACCUGCCCCGGUCUCUGGGAUAACAGUCGGAAACGACUGCUAAUACCGGAUACCGUCGGACCACCGCAUGGUGGACUGACGAAAGGGUUACCGGAUCGGGAGGGUCUCGCGGCCUAUCAGCUUGUGGGUGAGGUAACGGCUCACCAAGGCAUUGACGGGUAGCUGGUCUGAGAGGAUGAUCAGCCACACUGGGACUGAGACACGGCCCAGACUCCUACGGGAGGCAGCAGUGGGGAAUAUUGCACAAUGGGCGAAAGCCUGAUGCAGCAACGCCGCGUGCGGGAAGAAGGCCCUAGGGUUGUAAACCGCUUUCAGCAGGGAAGAAAAUGACGGUACCUGCAGAAGAAGGUGCGGCCAACUACGUG
rnacentral:rRNA from 1 species